AGAAUCAACGCUGGCGGCGUGCCUAACACAUGCAAGUCGCACGAGAAAGGGGAGCAAUCCCUGAGUAGAGUGGCGCACGGGUGAGUAACACGUGAAUAAUCUACCUCCGAGUGGGGAAUAACUGAGAGAAAUCUUAGCUAAUACCGCAUAACACUUACGAGUCAAAGCAGCAAUGCGCUUGGAGAGGAGUUCGCGGCCGAUUAGUUAGUUGGCGGGGUAAUGGCCCACCAAGACGAUGAUCGGUA
rnacentral:rRNA from 1 species